UAAAAUCCAAAAAAUCGAAUUUAUAUAGAAAAAUCGUUUUGUAAAAUACAAAAAUCGAUUUUAUGUACAAAAAUCGAUUUUAUAAAUACAAAAAAAAAUAAAAAAAUUAUUAAAAAAUUCUAAAUCAAUUCAACAAAACAAAUUAUUCAACCAAAUCACAAUUCUAAACCUAUUAUACAACCAAAUCACAAUCCUAACCAAUCACCC
rnacentral:lncRNA from 1 species